GACAUAGGGGGCAAGCGUUGUCCGGAAUUACUGGGCGUAAAGGGAGCGUAGGCGGGAAAUUAAGUUAAGUGUGAAAGCCUUGGGCUUAACCCAAGAAAUGCACUUGAUACUGGUUUUCUAGAGUGUAGGAGAGGUAAGUGGAAUUCCUAGUGUAGCGGUAAAAUGCGUAGAGAUUAGGAGGAACAUCAGAGGCGAAGGCGGCUUACUGGACGACCACUGACGCUGAGGCUCGAAAGCGUGGGGAGCAAACAGG
rnacentral:rRNA from 1 species